rnacentral:rRNA from 1 species
CACGUAGGGCGCAAGCGUUGUCCGGAAUUAUUGGGCGUAAAGCGCACGUAGGCGGCCUGAUAAGUCGGGUGUGAAAGCCCUCGGCUUAACCGAGGAAGUGCAUUCGAAACUAUCGGGCUUGAAUACUGAAGAGGGUCUCGGAAUUCCCGGUGUAGAGGUGAAAUUCGUAGAUAUCGGGAGGAACACCAGUGGCGAAGGCGGAGACCUGGGCAGAUAUUGACGCUGAGGUGCGAAAGCGUGGGGAGCAAACAGG